rnacentral:rRNA from 1 species
GAUGAACGCUGGCGGCGUGCCUAAUACAUGCAAGUCGAGCGAACAGACGAGGAGCUUGCUCCUCUGACGUUAGCGGCGGACGGGUGAGUAACACGUGGAUAACCUACCUAUCAGACUGGGAUAACUUCGGGAAACCGGAGCUAAUACCGUAUAAUAUAUUGAACCGCAUGGUUCAAUAGUGAAAGACGGUUUUGCUGUCACUUAUAGAUGGAUCCGCGCCGCAUUAGCUAGUUGGUAAGGUAACGGCUUACGAAGGCAACGAUGCGUAGCCGACCUGAGAGGGUGAUCGGCCACACUGGAAGUGAGACACGGUCCAGACUCCUACGGGAGGCAGCAGUAGGGAAUCUUCCGCAAUGGGCGAAAGCCUGACGGAGCAACGCCGCGUGAGUGAUGAAGGUCUUCGGAUCGUAAAACUCUGUUAUUAGGGAAGAACAAAUGUGUAAGUAACUAUGCACGUCUUGACGGUACCUAAUCAGAAAGCCACGGCUAACUACGUG